GACGAACGCUGGCGGCGUGCUUAACACAUGCAAGUCGAACGCUGAAGCUUGGUGCUUGCACUGGGUGGAUGAGUGGCGAACGGGUGAGUAAUACGUGAGUAACCUGCCCUUGACUCUGGGAUAAGCCUGGGACACUGGGUCUAAUACUGGAUACGACAUGUCACCGCAUGGUGGCGUGUGGAAAGGGUUUUACUGGUUUUGGAUGGGCUCACGGCCUAUCAGCUUGUUGGUGGGGUAAUGGCUCACCAAGGCGACGACGGGUAGCCGGCCUGAGAGGGUGACCGGACACACUGGGAGUGAGGUACGGCCGAGGAUCUUAUGGGAGGCAGCAGUGGGGAAUAGUGCACAAGCGGCGAACGCCUGAUGCAGCGACGCCGCGUGAGGGAUGACGGCCUUCGGGUUGUAAACCUCUUUCAGCACGGAAGAAGCGAAAGUGACGGUACGGGCAGAAGAAGCGCCGGCUAACUACGUG
rnacentral:rRNA from 1 species